UAGGGAAUCUUCCGCAAUGGACNAAAGUCUNANGGAGCAACNCCGCGUGAGUNAUGAAGNCUUNNGGGUNGUAAAANUCUGUUGUUAGGNAAGAACAAGUACNAGAGUAACUGCUUGUACCUUGACGGUACCUAACCANAAAGCCNCGGCUAACUACGUGCCAGCAGCCGCGGUAAUACGUAGGUGGCAAGCGUUAUCCGGAAUUAUUGGGCGUAAAGCGCGCGCAGGCGGUUUNUUAAGUCAUGAUGUGAAAGCCCACGGCUCAACCGUGGAGGGUCAUUGGAAACUGGGGAACUUGAGUGCAGAAGAGAAAAGCGGAAUUCCACGUGUAGCGGUGAAAUGCGUAGAUAUGUGGAGGAACACCAGUGGCGAAGGCGGCUUUUUGGUCUGUAACUGACGCUGAGGCGCGAAAGCGUGGGGAGCAAACAGRAUUAGAUACCCUGGUAGUCCACGCCGUAAACGAUGANUGCUAAGUGUUAGAGGGUUUUCCCCUUUAGUGCUGCAGCUAACGCAUUAANCACUCCCCCUGGGGAGUACGGCCCCAAGAUUU
rnacentral:rRNA from 1 species